rnacentral:rRNA from 1 species
AUUGAACGCUGGCGGCAUGCCUUACACAUGCAAGUCGAACGGCAGCAUGGAGAGCUUGCUCUCUGAUGGCGAGUGGCGAACGGGUGAGUAAAGCAUCGGAACGUACCGUGUAGUGGGGGAUAACGUAGCGAAAGUUACGCUAAUACCGCAUACGCACUGAGGUGGGAAGCAGGGGAUCGCAAGACCUUGCGCUAUACGAGCGGCCGAUGUCAGAUUAGCUAGUUGGUAGGGUAAAGGCCUACCAAGGCGACGAGCUGUAGCGGGUCUGAGAGGAUGAUCCGCCACACUGGGACUGAGACACGGCGCAGACUCCUACGGGAGGCAGCAGUGGGGAAUUUUGGACAAUGGGGGCAACCCUGAUCCAGCCAUGCCGCGUGAGUGAAGAAGGCCUUCGGGUUGUAAAGCUCUUUCGGCCGGGAAGAAAUCGCACAGGCUAAUACCCUGUGUGGAUGACGGUACCGGCAUAAGAAGCACCGGCUAACUACGUGCCAGCCGCCGCGGUAA